rnacentral:lncRNA from 1 species
GGAAGAGGCGCCCAGGCUGAAGGCUCGGGUUGCGAACUUGUGUCUGAACACCGGACUCCCCAGUCAGGUGUCACUAGGGUCCGGAGAGAGAGGAAGAGCUCGGAUUACUGCUUCGGGAAGUUUUUACAAGCUAUUUACCCACCCCCGCGCGCCCUGUGUCCUGGAGCCAAGAAUUUCAGAAAUCCGAGGCACAAAAACGCCAGUGUUUGCGGUCAAGGAUUAAAGAAACAAGUUUGUCUUUAUUAAAUCUGGUCUAGUUUUUUAUUGGAUCCUGCUAGUGUCUGCAUGAAAAACUAAGUCUGGAAAUGGGGUGGUCCCUGCUAUUGAGGAUGCGGGGUAAUCGUGUGAGAGCCCUUUUCUGAAUUCGAGCUGGGUCUGUCUUUCGUCGCCCGGUAGGAGGUAAAAGAAACGCUACCCUGACGAGUGAGCAAAUAAAGGAACCAUGUUGUGACUUGCUGAUGUUGUGAUCGCGAAGCAGGAAAGAAAUACAAACCGCGACCUCGGUCCUGACCCCGCUUCUAAGACCCCUAUGCUCCUGGAAUCUGUAAACGCUAAAGUAAAUAAACCGCAAACCAAAAAAAUAAGGGCUUCAGAGAAAAC